rnacentral:lncRNA from 1 species
GUAUUCUGCACGGACUGCUGGGCAGCACUAGCACUCUGGAGAAGGUCUGCCGCUGUCUGCACUUUCCUGGUUCUAUGCAGGCAGAUGAGUGUCACAGCUGUAACUGAGGCACAGAGCAGUACACACAGUGGAGCCGAUUUCCGCGAUGGCGAGAGGGGGCACCGGAGGUGACAACAAUAACAAGACUGUCCUUCGGACAAGUUUUAGCGCUGAAUAUCUUCAGGAAAAUGGGUUCCAUGAGAAGUGACAUCCUCCUCGAAUCAAAAGACUUGAGGUUAACAUGGGCAUAAUGUUCUGGAUGAAGCUUUGGAAGUACUUGUGAAGGAUUCUCAGGAUGAUGGAGUGAGUGAUGGAAUAGGUUGCCAACUGUAGUUACUCCACUCAGCACAGAAUGGCUGCGGGGAAAUAUAAUCAGACAUGCCCAAAGAAGUCUGCUUAGGGUGAAACAAAUACCUUUGAGGUUUAAAUCAGAAAGGAAGGAGAGACUGUUUCUACAGGUGUCAUACAAAAAUCAAUACUGAGCCAAGGAUUAUUGGAUCCCAUAGAACCACGGAGACUUGGUAGUGAAAUUCUUCCAAAGCAUUCCAUCCGUGCAGGCAGAUGGUGUUCCUAGGUUUGGAAAUAUAAAUCCCAUGGGAAGUCAGCUGAAGACCAUUUUAUGCAUCACUCAUCCUGUUAGAGCCCUGUGCUGUUCUGUCUCUCUAUAAGACUGGCUGAAACCACCACGGUUGUUUACAAUUUAUGCUCUAACUUUGGAUCACCUAGUUAAUACUCUAACUCCGAUUAUUACCAAAGACAAUGUUCUAUAAAAGAUAUUGUCUAUUAGAAGGAUGCUUCUGCAUUAUUAAUAAAAUCACAGGGAAAAUGCAACAUUUUGGAUGUCACAUCUGAUAAGUUGGCAGUUAAAGAACAGAAACAGCAAUAAGACUGCGUGGCUACAUUUUCCCAGUGCCACCAACUGGGAUUUAAGCUGACUAACAUUUUGAAAGCCCAGCCCAUUUCAUUCACAGCAGGAUGGCAGUGGGUGACUGAUCGUACCCGCCAGCUGGCUAAUGUCAUAAUUAACAAAGUUGCUACUACAUCUGCAAAGUUUAAUCGAAAAAUUUGCCAGUGAUAUGAUGGCCUUGUCACAGAGAUCACAAGGGACACGGAGUUGACUUUUGCUCAAGGUGGAACGACAGAGCUGUGUAGGCAAGAUGAGAAAUUGCGAACUUGUUCGGCCAAAGGAGGCUAAUAAUGAAGGGGCCGGGAAGGAGGCCAGUGCUACCAGGGUUAUCUCACAACCUCAGAUGCUGGAUAAGUCGACGGAGGCAGAAUCGCUUUGGGAUGACAUUCAGAAAGCCUGGAGUGAUUACUUGCAAGAGAAAAGCCUACCUAUUCUUUCCAAGGUGCAGGAAUAUUCCCCUGACCUGCUCAUCCAGUGGUCCAGUAAUGAAUUACUGGAGACCUGCCUUAGACAAAGAAUGCACUCGGAGCCCCAACACACCUAAAGCCAUGCUUUGAAGGAUCUGCCAAGCUCACUUUUAAUCAUGAGAAAGAAAUUACCCACACGGAGUCAGCAGAAAAUGAGAAAGUAGAGCUCGUGCUGUGAAUAAUUCCAGCAAGUGCCAAGGGGCUAGUUGAGGAAUGGCUUCAUGAGGUGAAUAUCUUUAGCUUGUACUUAGGGUUUGGUUAGCGUAUAAUCAUUUUCUCUUUUAGGAGCAAUGACUAUCAUACAUGUAUUUCCUAACUAAAGAGUGCUCAGAGCAUUUGUCAGGUUGUUGACAGAUUUAAUAUCAGUCUUGCCCAUGUUGUUAUUUACUAUGACUAAUUUUACGUUUGUAAAUAUGCAAAAAUCAAUUUAGGCGGAAAGGCUCUCCUCCGAGCCAAUGACUGCUACUAGCUGUAUGCAUUUGUGUGUAUUGCUGUGAGUGCAUGUCCAGUAGUUUAUGUCUCUGUGUCUGUAUGUGCCCUUGUUCUGUCUUCUCUCUGUUGUGAACGCAGGUUGGGAGAAUUAGCCAACCAUUGGGUUCUCAGAUGUGGUCCCAGGCUUUCAUUUGAUUUUUGGAACGGGAAAAAAAGAACGUGUCACAUCAUGAUUAAUGGUGAAUCUGAAUUUUCAAUUCACAUGAAAGGAGGAAGGGGAGGGGAUAUGAGUCAAGUGACAAGACUAACCUUUUCCCUUUGGGACGAGCAUGAUUCAAAUUAAACAUCACUUUCAGUGUGAAA